CUCUUCCUUGCAGCAGGCCUCGAGGCAGGGCAGAUUCCUCUUUAAGGUGCUCUCAUGUUACCCCUGGGUUCUGCUGACCCAACACUAGCUACAAAGUGGGACAGUCCCACAGUGCUCCCUUUUCCUUGUUGUGGGGAAGACCGCAAAAAGACCUCUUUUGCUUUAAUGACUUUGUUCCUACUCAAUACAGGAAGUGUUGACCAGCAAAAAUAAUAAUUACAAAGGCUCAGGAACCUAAGUUCUGAUUUAUUGUUUAUUGUUCCUGACUCCCCUGUGAUUAACUGGAAACCCUGUUGUUCUCCUUUUUAAUCCUAAAGUUAGAGUUUGCCAAACCUACUCCUUUACUACCAGCCCUGCUAAAGGGGAGGAUCUCCAGAUCCCUUUCUUAAGAAGGCCCCUUCCCUGGUUGUAGAGCUAACCAGAGCAGAACACUGGGCCUCCUUUUCUCUGAAGGGCACUGUGCAUCUCAGAGGAUCUCCAGACCAACAGGAGCCCACACCACUGGGCCUCUGAACCGCAGAGUUAUGAUUCCCUUUGGAUAUUUUCUCCCAGAUUGCAGAAGCUACCUUCAUCAUGGCCAGCUAUAUGAACCAUUGCACUACAACUGUGAACCCACCCACCAACCCACCCGGAGCCUGCCAACUGUGGGAACUGGAUGGACGACAGUUCUUUUCUUCUGUUUCCUGUGCUACCAAGGGGCCAACGUUGCUGUGAAUAUUUCUCCUACCCAAUUCCCCACCACCACUAGUGCCUCUGGAAUUAGAGACAUAUAUCCUAGGGUAUGAUACUACUGUGAUGGGUCUAACAGCCCCCGGCUACUCUUGUUGUGUGAAAUGUGUAUUUUAGCCUCUGUGAAGCCUUUACUCUCUAGGUGCCUUAUGUUUCAGGGCUCAACUUUUUAAAAUCCAGACCCAGUGUUAAAACCACUUAUUCCUUUUUUCACAAGAAUAAUGACUCCAAAUGCUACCUGAUUCUAGACAUAGACAGGGAUGAUCCACUGUUACUGAGGGCAUCAGUGCUAUAAGUUAAGGCUUUCUGCACUGGUACUCUCAAGGAAGCUAAUUUUCUUUCUGGGUCUGCGGGGGACACAGUCUCACUAUGUCACCCAGGCUGGAGUGCACAGGGUUCAAGCAAUUCUCCUGCCUCAGCCUUCCGAGUAGCUGGGAUUACAGGUGUGCGCCACCACGCCUGGCUAAUUUUUGUAUUUUUAGUAGAGAUGGGGUUUCACCAUGUUGGCCAGGCUAGUCUCGAACUCCUGACCUCAGGUGAUCUGCCCACCUUGGCCUCCCAAAGUGCUGGGAUUACAGGCAUGAGCCACCGCCCAGCCCAGAAGCUAAUUUUUUAAUAUUGUAUAUGGUCUUAUUUAUACUUGAAGUUUUGUGAACGUCGCUAAACAGGAUAGGACUAAAAUUUCCAAUUCUCCUACACUCUGUCAGAAGCCUAGAACUCACUAAAUUGGGCUGCCUCUCCCAAAUGGGAAAGGUGCUAGCAGAGUUGGCGAAAAAAGAAUAGACUCACUUUUCCCCAUUAUUGGUAUGUAGGCAUUGGUACAGCCCCUUCUGGGGCAGUCUUUGCAGGGUAACAUGCUAUCCCUGCUAAGAUUCAAGCUGUUUUCCUCACACUGGACUGUAGGCCAAACCCAGUACCACGCAAUGUGCAAGCAAGGGCAGGAGGUAGGUCCAAUCUGACCCUUCCCUGUCUCAUUUUAAUGACUGGACAGCGCUCAGUGAAGGCUGUGUUCACUGUAGUGGGCCAUCAUUUGUUUCCUUGUUCUUGUAAAAGACCAAGCAAAUGCACUCUGCUUUUUGCUGCUGUAAGACCACCAAAAAUGAGUCAGAAACACAGAAGACUAUUUCAGGCAUGUGGGCCUGGAUAUGCUCCUUGAGACUUCUGGCAAACUUCUGCUGGGAAUUAGUUUGAGGGUGAGGGUACAUAUGUGACAUUUGCCCUAGCCUAAGAGUAACAGGUAAAAGAAAGUUUCUUUCAGCUUUUGCCUUACUGAUAAUACCAUAAUCCCCCUCAAUUCAGACCUUCUGAUUGAGUGCAGAGGAGACUAGACAGUCUCCUCUAGACAGGGUGUAGACACACCCUCCCCUAACAAAAACAAAACGAAAGAGUUCAUACUCUGAUUUUCCAACAUCUAAGAAAAUGAGUUUUAUUUCCUAGCUCUAAGGCAGCCUUACUAUGUGUCAGUGAAGUGCUGAAAACUGUAUAUUUAGCAGUAGCACCCAAAACCAAGCCUUUAAACCCCAACAAUGUGUGUAUAUUGUGCACAGCAAAAACUGCGAGGCCAGAACUAAUUUAUCUGAACACCUCAGCUGCUGUAAGCUUCUCUUCUCUCACCCCGUAAACUGACAAGCAUGAUGAAAAAAGAAGCACAUCCAAGUUUCUGCCUCUUUUAAAUGUACUUGACUUUGCAAGGCAAGUAGUUUUACAGCCAUUUCUGUUCACACCUUUCACCCCAGGACUUGGGAAUCUAGCUGAGACAUUUCUACCUCGAACAAGUCACAUGUACCACAGGUUCCUGAAUAAUUCCUGCAAGGCUGGUGACAGACAUAACAGCUCUGGUUUUAUAAUAUCUUGGGUAUCUCUAAGGCCAAUAAGGAUAACAUUAUCUACCCAGAGAGUUUAAAAGAAAAGUAGGAGUCCGAAGGAAGAGUAAACAAGAAUGGAGCUGUAUUCACACUGAAUUUGGGGUCAGUCUAUUUCCCCCACCCUCUCUCCUCCCCUUCAGGAACCCUUUAGUUUAUUAAUUUUAUACAGAAGAAACUGCCUUAGAAACAAAGGAUUCAAUAAUUUGCUUAUUUAUUCUUUGUUAACAUGAGAGUCCCAUGUCUGAAAACCAAAGUUCAAUUUCUGUCUGGCCUUUUGUCUCAUCCCUCUUGGCAAAAGUAGCUUUUGAACUGAUAAAAAAAAAAAUGCUGAGUAACAGAAAAGUAUUAAUGUGCUUGACACCAUGACUGAAAUAUCUUGUUUGUCAAUAAAAAGCAGCUAUCUGUGAACCAG
rnacentral:sRNA from 1 species